UGUCCCUACGGGACGCAGCAGUAGGGAAUAUUGCUCAAUGGGGGGAACCCUGAUGCAGCGACGCCGCGUGGGUGAAGGAGUACUUCGGUAUGUAAAGCUCUAUCAGCAGGGAAGAAAGAAAUGACGGUACCUGACUAAGAAGCCCCGGCUAACUACGUGCCAGCAGCCGCGGUAAUACGUAGGGGGCAAGCGUUAUCCGGAUUUACUGGGUGUAAAGGGAGCGUAGACGGUGAUGCAAGUCUGAAGUGAAAGGCGGGGGCCCAACCCCCGGACUGCUUUGGAAACUGUAUAGCUGGAGUGCAGGG
rnacentral:rRNA from 1 species